rnacentral:rRNA from 1 species
CGGGGGGAGCAAGCGUUGUUCGGAUUUACUGGGCGUAAAGGGCGCGUAGGCGGCCACCGCAAGUCGGUUGUGAAAUCUCCGGGCUUAACCCGGAAAGGUCAAUCGAUACUGCGGGGCUAGAGUGCAGAAGGGGCAGCUGGAAUUCUCGGUGUAGCGGUGAAAUGCGUAGAUAUCGAGAGGAACACCUGCGGCGAAGGCGGGUUGCUGGGCUGACACUGACGCUGAAGCGCGAAAGCUAGGGGAGCGAACGGGAUUAGAUACCCCGGUAGUCCUAGCCUUAAACGAUGAAUGCUUGGUGUCUGGGGUUUUAUAGUCCCCGGGUGCCGUCGCUAACGCUUUAAGCAUUCCGCCUGGGGAGUACGGUCGCAAGACUG